GGCAGGGUGGCGCAGUCGUUAGCGCAUCUCCCUAGUGUGCAGGAGGCCCGGGUUCGAAUCCCGGCCUCGGUACCA